AGAGUUUGAUCCUGGCUCAGGACGAACGCUGGCGGCGUGCCUAAUACAUGCAAGUCGAGCGAAUCGAUGGGAGCUUGCUCCUUGAGAUUAGCGGCGGACGGGUGAGUAACACGUGGGCAACCUGCCCUGCAGAUGGGGAUAACUCCGGGAAACCGGGGCUAAUACCGAAUAAUCAGUUCCUCCGCAUGGAGGAACUCUGAAAGACGGUUUCGGCUGUCACUGCAGGAUGGGCCCGCGGCGCAUUAGCUUGUUGGUGGGGUAACGGCCUACCAAGGCGACGAUGCGUAGCCGACCUGAGAGGGUGAUCGGCCACACUGGGACUGAGACACGGCCCAGACUCCUACGGGAGGCAGCAGUAGGGAAUCUUCCACAAUGGACGAAAGUCUGAUGGAGCAACGCCGCGUGAGCGAAGAAGGUUUUCGGAUCGUAAAGCUCUGUUGUGAGGGAAGAACAAGUACGGGAGUAACUGCCCGUACCUUGACGGUACCUCAUCAGAAAGCCAUGGCUAACUACGUGCCAGCAGCCGCGGUAAUACGUAGGCGGCAAGCGUUGUCCGGAAUUAUUGGGCGUAAAGCGCGCGCAGGCGGUCCCUUAAGUCUGAUGUGAAAGCCCACGGCUCAACCGUGGAGGGUCAUUGGAAACUGGGGGACUUGAGUACAGAAGAGGAAAGCGGAAUUCCACGUGUAGCGGUGAAAUGCGUAGAGAUGUGGAGGAACACCAGUGGCGAAGGCGGCUUUCUGGUCUGUAACUGACGCUGAGGCGCGAAAGCGUGGGGAGCAAACAGGAUUAGAUACCCUGGUAGUCCACGCCGUAAACGAUGAGUGCUAAGUGUUAGGGGGUUUCCGCCCCUUAGUGCUGCAGCUAACGCAUUAAGCACUCCGCCUGGGGGAGUACGGCCGCAAGGCUGAAAACUCAAAGGAAUUGACGGGGACCCGCACAAGCGGUGGAGCCAUGUGGUUUAAUUCGAAGCAACGCGAAGAACCUUAC
rnacentral:rRNA from 1 species